AGACAAAGAAAAGAAGAUAAAGAUAGUAGAACUUGAGUAUAUAAAAUGAUGAAAAUGUUAACUUCAGAUUAAGUAAUUUAUAGUUGUUAUUGGUGGUAGAAAGAUAGCUUGGCAGCCAAGUCUGCUAGGCUGAGAGCAAAGGUUGUUACAACGGUCAAAAGAAAUAGAGAAGAAAGAAACAGGAAAGUUCCAGUCUAGUGCCUUGGUAAUUGUCACUUCUAUAGUAGAAAGCUAAAGGUUGUAAGAGUAAUGUUGAGGGG
rnacentral:lncRNA from 1 species